UACGUAGGGUGCGAGCGUUGUCCGGAAUUAUUGGGCGUAAAGGGCUCGUAGGCGGUCUGUCACGUCGGGAGUGAAAACUCAGGGCUUAACCCUGAGCCUGCUUCCGAUACGGGCAGACUAGAGGUAUGCAGGGGAGAACGGAAUUCCUGGUGUAGCGGUGAAAUGCGCAGAUAUCAGGAGGAACACCGGUGGCGAAGGCGGUUCUCUGGUACGUGAGCUGACGCUGAGACGCGAAAGCGUGGGGAGCAAACAGG
rnacentral:rRNA from 1 species